rnacentral:snRNA from 1 species
UCGGUUCUUGAAUGGCUCUCUCU